rnacentral:rRNA from 1 species
AUUGAACGCUGGCGGCAUGCCUUACACAUGCAAGUCGAACGGUAACAGGUCUUCGGAUGCUGACGAGUGGCGAACGGGUGAGUAAUACAUCGGAACGUGCCUAGUAGUGGGGGAUAACUACUCGAAAGAGUGGCUAAUACCGCAUGAGAUCUACGGAUGAAAGCAGGGGAUCGCAAGACCUUGUGCUACUAGAGCGGCCGAUGGCAGAUUAGGGAGUUGGUGGGAUAAAAGCUUACCAAGCCGACGAUCUGUAGCUGGUCUGAGAGGACGAUCGGCAACACUGGGACUGAGAAACGGCCCAGACUCCUACGGGAGGCAGCAGUGGGGAAUUUUGGACAAUGGGCGAAAGCCUGAUCCAGCAAUGCCGCGUGCAGGAUGAAGGCCUUCGGGUUGUAAACUGCUUUUGUACGGAACGAAAAGCCCCGGGUUAAUACCCUGGGGUCAUGACGGUACCGUAAGAAUAAGCACCGGCUAACUACGUGCCAGCCGCCGCGGUAA